rnacentral:lncRNA from 1 species
AUGCAGUAUCUGCUGCACCCCACCCCGAGCCCCAGCAAGUGCUGGGCUCCCAGAAGUGGUGCUAGAGCAGGAGAGCACCCCCACUUACACAGGACACCCCGGCACGGCCAGUACCCCACAUUCAGGGACACUGCAACACUGACAGUACCCCACCUUCAUGGACACCCCAACCCUUCCAGUACUCCACCUUCAGGGACACCCCAACACUGCCAGUACCCCACCUUCACGGACACCCCAACACUGCCAGUACACCACCUUCAAGGACACCCCAACACUGCCAGUACCCCACCUUCAGGGACACCCCAACACUGCCAGCACCCCACCUUCACGGACACCCCAACACUGCCAGUACCCCACCUUCACGGACACCCCAACACUGCCAGUACCCCACCUUCACGGACACCCCAACACUGCCAGUACCCCACCUUCACGGACACCCCAACACUGCCAGUACACCACCUUCAAGGACACCCCAACACUGCCAGUACCCCACCUUCACGGACACCCCAACACUGCCAGUACCCCACCUUCACGGACACCCCAACACUGCCAGUACCCCACCUUCAGGGACACCCCAACACUGCCAGCACCCCACCUUCACAGACACCCCAGCACUGCCAGCACCCCUGCCUCUACAGGAUGCCCCAACACUGCCAGUACCCCACCUUCAAGGACACCCCAACACUGCCAGUACCUCCACCUUCAAGGACACCCCAACCCUUCCAGUACCCCACCUUCACGGACACCCCAACACUGCCAGUACCUCCACCUUCAAGGACACCCCAACCCUUCCAGUACCCCACCUUCAUGGACACCCCAACACUGCCAGUACCCCGCCUUCACGGACACCCCAACCCUUCCAGUACCCCGCCUCCACAGGACACCCCAACACUGCCAGUACCCCACCUUCAGGACACCCCAACACUGCCAGUACCUCCACCUUCAAGGACACCCCAACACUGCCAGUACCUCCACCUUCACGGACACCCCAACACUGCCAGUACCCCACCUUCACGGACACCCCAACACUGCCAGCACCCCCGCCUCUACAGGACACCCCAACACUGCCAGUACUCCACCUUCAAGGACAUCCCAACACUGCCAGUACCCCACCUUACGGACACCCCAACACUCCCAGUACCCUGCCUCCACAGGACACCCCAACACUGCCAGUACCCCACCUUCAAGGACACCCCGGCACGGCCAGCCCUCGGACUGCAGACUCCCCUGGAGUCACCCGGACUCUCACGGGGCUCACUUACCUCCACCUCCCUCGGGAGGACCGGCCUCCAGGGUGCGUAUCAUCGCUCCGCCGCCCUGAUGGGCAUAAUGCCAUUGAGAUCCCUGGACUGA